GCGAAGGUGGCGGAACCGGCAGACGCGCAGGACUUAGGAUCCUGUGGGGCAACCCGUGGGGGUUCAACUCCCCCCCUUCGCACCC
rnacentral:tRNA from 1 species